UACGUAGGGAGCAAGCGUUGUCCGGAAUCAUUGGGCGUAAAGCGCGCGUAGGUGGCCUCAUAAGUCCGCUGUGAAAGUCAAAGGCUCAACCUUUGAAAGCCGGUGGAUACUGUGAGGCUAGAGUACGGAAGAGGCGAGUGGAAUUCCUGGUGUAGCGGUGAAAUGCGUAGAUAUCAGGAGGAACACCUGUGGUGUAGACAGCUUACUGGCCCGAUACUGACGCUGAGGCACGAAAGCGUGGGGAGCAAACAGG
rnacentral:rRNA from 1 species